CUCUCAGCUUAUUUUGCGCAGCUUAGGUGGGAGGCUAUGAACCUUUUCUUCUGGGAAGAGGGGAGCCGUCAGUGAGAUACCACUCUUGGUAAGCUAGAGCGCUCAGUCUUAACCGUCAUCCGGUAAGACGACAGUUUCAGGCGGGCAGUUUGACUGGGGCAGUCACCUCCCAAACGGUAAUGGAGGUGUGCAAAGGUUCCCUCAGGCUGGACGGAAAUCAGCCAUAGAGUGUAAAAGCAAAAGGGAGCUUGACGGCGAGACUGACAUGUCAAGCAGAGACGAAAGUCGGCUUUAGUGAUCCGACGGUGCUGUGUGGAAAGGCCGUCGCUCAACGGAUAAAAGUUACUCUAGGGAUAAC
rnacentral:rRNA from 1 species